rnacentral:lncRNA from 1 species
UAUUAUAUGUAGACUACACAGCCCUAGUCUCCCAUAAUCAUCACUUUGGCUUAAUGAUUAUGGUUAUUAGAAGUUUAAUCUUUUAGACUUUAUGUCGAUUCUAUGUAAACUCCAGAUUACAUUAUCAUAUUUUUUGAUUAACGACCCGAGCUUGAUCACCACUUUUAAUUAGAAUCUGGAUGCACGUGCCAUCUUCGACCACAUAGUACAUAAAUCUCUAUAGUGAUGGUAGCAUCAUCUAUAGAUGUUUUGGGCAUGGAGGUGGUGAACGACAAGGCUCUCUAAUUAGUUGUCAUUUGUUCAGGUUUUGUGGUGGCCAUACAUUAGAUGCUUUUAUCAAAAGUGCUUGUUGCUGUAUGAUGGGUGAUGAUUAGACUUGAAAAUUUGGGUUAAGAGAAAGGCAACUCUUUAGAU